rnacentral:lncRNA from 1 species
UACGUUCUGAGUUCAAAUUCCGCCGAGGUCGACUUUGCCUUUCAUCCUUUCGGGGUCGAUAAAUUAAGUACCAGUUACGCACUGCGGUCGAUGUAAUCGACUUAAUACCUAUGUCUGUCCUUGUUUGUCCCCUCUGUGUUUAGCCCCUUGUGGGUAAUAAAGAAAUAGGUAUGUCGCGUGUUUUAAAUACAGAGAAUCUGGGAACUAUCACAUGAGAGAUUUUUUUAUUAUUUUGUUUAGAGUUGAAUACAUAGAUCCCUGUAUUUUGUAUGUUAUUUAUGUCAUCAUUCUCUUAAGAAACAAAAUAUUGUCAUAGCUGUAAGGGGAUGUAACUUAAUUGCAUAUCGUAUUUACUUGUGUAUAAAUCACUCUUGUGUAUAUCAUCAUCAUCAUUGUUCGACCGUGGUCGAGACAAUGGAAUUUACCAUGCUACGCCAGACUUCACGGUCCAUCAUGGCAUUACGGAGGUCCUGUUGCUGGAUGCCUGUAUCCCUGGAGAUUACAUCAGGGUAGGAGAGUGUGCGCCCUCUGGCAUUGCGAGUAGAUGGCUUCCAGAGGAGGAGAGUAGAAAUUACCUCUUUUUCAGCUCUACAACAAUGUCCAGCAAACUGGACUCUCCUACCUUUCACAAGAGAUGACACAGGUGGUAGUUUCCCAUAUAUUUCCAUUUUGGUUGGAUAGCGCUUCCACUAGAGAUUUUGAGCUCUCAUAAGGAGGCGAGUGUAGGUUCCAUCCAACCGCCUCUCAAGCUUCUUUGAUAACGUCCAGGUUUCUGGACCUUGUGUAUAAGUCGCAUCCCUAAUUUAACGUUUUAAUAUAUAGAACGAGCAAAACGCCCCCCGUCCAAUGGACGGUGCUGAGUUGUAAAACAUCUAAACCAGAUUUUCUCAAAACAACUUGUCCGACCGUCCCAUAGGCCUCCCCUUUGAGAAACACUGAUUUAACCUAAAUUUGAGAAGAAAUAAAGACAGGCUUUUUUUCUAUUCCAAAGAGAAACGAUUUUAUUCACACAAAUAUGCAAACGAAGAGUUUAAAGUACCAGUAAUGAUAAGGCUGUUGACUGGGAGAACACAAACAUGCUUUAAAUAGUAAGCUUGGCAGGAAAGAAACGUGCCUUUAAGCAGUACAAAAACAACAAAAAAUGGAAGGUGCAGUGAUGUACAGGUUGACGGAAGAAAAGCAGGACAAAAACGGCUUUAUCAAUCACAUUCUCACCUGGAAUCGAUUUUUGUAAUUUUUUCAAGACUUAUACACGCCCUGAUACCGUCGGUAUCUACAUAUCAAAUUUGAGCGCAAUCGGAUGGAGGAUGCCCGAGAUCCUAGAAGACACACACACACACAUAGACAGAACGGAUUUUAUAUCAUAGAUUAGCUUUGCCCCCGUAGAUUUGCCACACCCUAGUUUUUCUCAUUUCAAAUGAAGUAUAAAAUACUGCAACUUAUACUCGAGUUAAUGCUGUAAAUUUCAUCGAAAAUUGAAGUUACAAUGGACCCUUUUUUUGCAAUACACCUCACAAAUGAUGAAAAUGUUAUUCUUGUAGUUGUUGUUGUUGUUGGUGAUUAUGAUGAUGAUGAUGUGUACGUAUGUUUGCAUGCAUGCAUCUAUGUAUAUCUUUAUGUACAUAUGUCUGCAUGGUUACGUUUGUGUUGAUUGAUGUUUUCUUUUUUAUACCUUUGCCCGCAUUCAACUGCUGCUCUUCCCCAUUAUCUAUUUUUCUUCCGUUUCUUCAUAAUUUCUCUCCUGCUUAAGUUUUCUUUCCUUUCUUUGUUUUUUUUAUCUUGCCAUUUUUUUUUCCAGUAACAAAAACAUUUUUAAAAUCAUAAAGUGAUUAUCUCAGUGUAAAAACAUCUAGCGUUUAGACUCCUUUUAUGAAAUGUCUUUGAAUUUUUUUCUCUUUUGUUUUUGUAAAUAUCUGUACAACACUUCUAUUUGGAUCACUGCUACAAGUUACAGAACCUGCAUUCCCAUAUAAUCCGAUAAGUACACACACACACACACACACACACACACACACACACAUAUGUAUGUAUAUAUUUUUUGGAAGCACUCCGUCGGUUACGACGACGAGGGUUCCGGUUGAUCCGAAUCAACGGAACAGCCUGCUCGUGAAAUUAACGUGUAAGUGGCUGAGUACUCCACAGACACGUGCACCCAUGACGUAGUUCUCGGGGAUAUUCAGCGUGACACAGAGAGUGACAAGGCCGGCUCUUUGAAAUACAGGUACAACAGAAACAGGAAGUAAGAGUGAGAGCAAGUUGUGGUGAAAGAGUACAGCAGGGAUCACCACCAUCCGCUGCCGGAGCCUCGUGGAGCUUUAGGUGUUUUCGCUCAAUAAACACUCACAACGCCCGGUCUGGGUGUAUAUAUAGCAUGCUCAUAAACGGAGGUUACGUCAUUACCUCCAUUCCUUUAUUACGAUCGUUUCAACAAUACGUGGUACAGGAUACAUCAUGAAUAUAAAAUACUUGCUGCAUGCUUACUUCGUUAUUGCAUGAUGGGGCUGGAGUCCUCCCAGGUUGCUAUCCCAGAAUUGUCAUCGUGCGUAGAGCCGGGCAAGUCCAUCAAUGUUCCCCAUUAUUGGCAGUCCCGUGCCAGCGCCACUGCGUCCACCGAGAGGAAGUCGGGCCUGUGGAGAUCUUCUUUUAUCACGUCGAUAUAAAUGAAUGGGUAAUAUUGCAACAUAUAUAUGAUUCACUUUCAUUUCAUCAGACAAAGGUGGAAAAAAACAAUGCAAUUUACUCUUUAGGGAGUUAUAUAAACUUGUUAAAACCAGAGAAGCAUGAACCUUCUACGAAUAGGAUAGAGCUUGCAUUUGUAAAUGUAUGUAUGUAUGUACGUAUGUGUGUGUGUGUAUGUUUGUCGUUUCUGUUUUUUAAUUAUUAUAAAUCUUCCACUGAGGAGGGAUCCGGUUUCCAACAAAGAUACAAGCCUCCAUCUUUGGGAUGUAGUUAACACAGACAAAUUCACAUUCGGAAUUUGAGAAAAGUAUUGCAUAUUUUUACUGUUCCACUCACAAAUUGCACUUGUCAUGUUCAAAUUAGCUGGUCGAUUUCUCUUUCUGAAAAUCCCAGUUUAUCCAGAUUCUCCUUUAAACAUUUACUAACAAAACCUAGUGCUCCUAUUAUUAUUGGUAUGAAUAUGAAUUCAUAGGCUGGAUAUAGAAGUUGGAGGUUUCGAAGCAGUUGUCCAUAGAUAUCCUCUUUUUCUUAGAUUUUCAAGGAGGUAUUUGUAAUUGCAAAGGCAGCUGACCUCUAUGACGGUAUAUACCUUUGCCGGAGAGCUGGCAGAAACGUUAGCACGCCGGGCGAAAUGCGUAGCCGUAUUUCGUCUGCCGUUACGUUGUGAGUUCAAAUUCCGCCGAGGUCGACUUUGCCUUUCAUCCUUUCGGGGUCGAUAAAUUAAGUACUAGUUACGCACUGGGGUCGAUGUAAUCGACUUAAUACCUAUGUCUGUCCUUGUUUGUCCCCUCUAUGUUUAGCCCCUUGUGGGUAAUAAAGAAAUAGGUAUAUACCUUUGCCCCUCUGUCCCAAAUAACAAUAUCCGGCCUGUUAUGUUCAGUAGGUAACAGCAUAGUGUUUCUCAGGUAUCUAUAUAGUUCACCGACCAAAGUAUCUGACAUAAGUUUCCACAUUAGCGGAAGGCACGUGAUUGGUCUAAAAAAAGGGUGCUGAAAGAGGAGUCGGGGAACGAAGGAUCAGAUCUUAAUUGAUAAUCUAAUUAUCAAGAACUGCAAGAGAAGACACACAAACCUGAUCAUGGCAUGGGUUGACUAUCGUAAAGUAUACAAUAUAAUAUUAUACUCUUGGAUAACGAAAGCAAUGAAAAUGUAUGAAGUAGCAGAAAUUAUGAGAGGCCUUAUAUGGAAUAGCAUGAGAUGCUGGGGAACGACAUUGAGUGCAAGGAAUCAAGUAUUAGGAGAAGUGAAAAUCAAGAGAGGUAUCUUCCAGGGGGGGACAGUAUGUCCCCACUGAUCUUUGUGCUAGGAAUGAUCCCUAUGAGUGAAAUACUACGGAAACUAAAAUAACCUCGGCAUCUACGUUGGGUCGCACAAUUCGUGAGGUCAUUUUCGGAAAAUAUUUCAAUUUGCUUCUAAUGUAUGAUGUGUGAAGAGGUAACGGAAAACUGAGCCACAAGCUAUCCAUGGACGACCUGAAGCUAUUCACAAAAACUAUUAUUAUUAUUAUUAUUUCUUCUUCUUCUUCUUCUUCUUCUUCUUCUUCUUAUUAUUAUUAUUAUUAUUAUUAUUAUUAUUAUUAUUAUUAUUAUUAUUAUUAUUAUUAUUAUUAUUAAUAAUAAUAAUAAUAAUAAUAAUAAUAAUAAUAAUAAUAAUAAUAAUAGACAAAUACAUAACAAAAACACCAGGACUUACAAACACAUAUAACAUACAGAAAAUUGCACUACUAGGCACUGCACACAUCCUACGUAGAACACUUUCCAUACAAUAACCAUCAGAGCAUCACAACAAAUCACAGCACAUACCCAAGGCACACAGAGCUGCGCUCGGUAGUGAAGUGAAAGCACGCUAUAAAAAUAAAACUACUGAAUAAUAAUAAUAAUAAUAAUAAUAAUAAUAAUAAUAAUAAUAAUAAUGAUAAUAAUAAUAAUAAUAAUAAUAAUAAUAAUAAUAAUAAUAAUAAUAAUAAUAAUAAUAAUAAUAAUGAUAAUAAUAAUAAUAAUAAUAAUAAUAAUAAUAAUAAUAAUAAUAAUAAGAAGAAGAAGAAGAAGAAAUAAUAAUAAUAAUAAUAAUGAUGAUGAUGAUAAUAAUAAUAAUAAUAAUAAUAAUAAUAAUAAUAAUAAUAAUAAUAAUAAUAAUAAUAAUAAUGAUAAUAAUAAUAAUAAUAAUAAUAAUAAUAAUAAUAAUAAGAAGAAGAAGAAGAAGAAGAAGAAGAAAUAAUAAUAAUAAUAAUAAUGAUGAUGAUGAUAAUAAUAAUAAUAAUAAUAAUAAUUAUUAUUAUUAUUAUUAUUAUUAUUAUUAUUAUUAUUAUUACUAUUAUUAUUAUUAUUAUUAUUAUUAUUAUUAUUAUUAUUAUUAUUAUUAUUAGUAUUACUAUUAUUAUUAUUAUUAUCAUUAUUAUAUUAGUAUUAGGGCAGCAAGCUAGCAGAACUCUUAGCACGACGGAUAAAAUGCCUUUAUUUUAUGUUGUUAUUUAUAUGCCGUUGGCGCCAUGCGCGUUACUCCAAACCACCAACUGCUCGUGCAGCCCUUUGGAUUCGCAGAUGUAUUUUUGUGUCUAGAUUUCCAUCAGUUUGUACAGAGCUCCAAAAGUAAAUGAAAGAAUCAACAACCUCAAGUAACGUACUCUUAAAAUAUUUUAGGUGGGUUGCAAACAGCACCACGUGCAGGUUGAUACGUUACAACUGUUUCUAUCAAGUCCUAUAUUUAAGAGAUGAGGAAUUACGUACAUUAUUUACAUUAUUUACAUUCGACAAAUAUCCAUCGAAUGUAAAUAUUGUUUCUAUCAAGUUGAUGGUCAAGUCAAAAUCAUCACAAGCUGAGUCAAAUGCAGAUCCAAGAGACUGAAGGCCUGUUACAGAAUGACUGGCUAAAUCGCAAUGGUCAGUGAAUAAGGGUUCCCUAAUGAGUGAAGUAAAGCCCUCUGUUUUGAAUUUCAGUCUGGUCAGAUUAAAAACAUUUCCUGUUGUUCGAUAUUUUAUGUAAAUGCCCUCCUCGGAGCUUUGAAAAGCGUGUGACAGCACAACAGCAAAGUAUAUUGCAAAGAGAGUGGGUCUCCUUGCUUUACUCCAUUUUCCACGGCAGAAGAUUCAGAGAGCCUACCGCCAAAAUUAAUUCUAGCUUUCAUAUCUUGAUGCAAAUCCUUGAUAAUGUUUACAAACUUUUCUGGGCAACCUAUUUUCCUUAGAAUUAGCCACAGAGCAUUUCGACUGAUAGUAUCAAACGCUUUGCUCAAAUCGACAAAUCAAUCAUGUAGGGCAAAAUUCUGUUCAAUGCACUUUUCCUGAAAUUGUCUGAUAGUAAAGAUUCAAUCAACUGUGCCCCUAGGGGAGCGGAAACGAUAUUGAGACUCGGACACCAUAUUUGAAACUAUGAAAGUUUUUGAACGUUCUACCAGAAUGCGGACAAGUACUUUUCUAACUACAGGAAAAAAACGAAAUCCUAUGAAAAUAACCACACAGAUCCUUUGGCCCCGAUUUAUACAAGGAGAUGGCAUCAAUCCAGUCUUGGGGCACUUUCUCAGUUCUCCAACAGUGACAAAUGAAUAUAUUUAAGAGUUCAUUUGUAACUCACCCGCCCACAUCAAAACCUCUGGACAGAUUCCAUUAGACCCUGGAGAUUUAUUGUUAUUCAGCUUAUUCACAGCUAAAUAGAUGUCAUUUUAAAUGUUUAAACGCCAUCUCCUCUAUAACUGAAAGGUGUUCGAUUAUUUUCUACGAUCCUCAUGUCGGCGGAUGAUGGUCUACUCGAAAGUGCAGAAAAAUUUUCUACCUAGCACUUAGAAAGAGAAGCGGUGUCAGUUAGAAGCAAAUGUCCAUUUGCCGUUUUCACUGGAGCUAUUUAAGAUUUUGGGCCAUAUACCUCCUUAACAUAAGAAUACAAAUAUUUGGCGUCAUUUCUAUCAGCUGCUUGUGCCCCUUUUGCUCUAUCAUUCCACCAUUCCUGUUUAGUUUUCCUUAGAACAGUCUGCACUUUCCCUUUCAUCUUUCUGUAAGCUUCGUUAGAGUUGGGGUUCAAGGACUGAGAAAUAAGUGUAUUGCCUAAGUUUUGUUUUUAUAAAAGUAGAUCAUGAAUUUCUGCUGAUCUAUCUCAGAACCAGUCACUGGACUUAUGUGAUUUAAAUCCCACUGACGAAGUUGCAGCCUGAAAUACUUUUGUUUUGAAAUUUUCCUAUAGAUUGUUUGGGUCAAGAUUGAUACUUUCUAUUGCAUCGUGGAAUCUUUGCAAGCUCCUUGGUAAUUUGAAGUUUGUAACAUUUAACUUUUUGGGUACCUUGGGAUCAGAGGGUCAACUUUUAGGUAUUAUCGAAAAAUUUAUUUUCCCAGACGCUUGACGAUGGUGAGUCCAGCUCUCUGCUUCUUCCAUGGCCUGAACACUAGAAACAUCUUUCAUAUUACACUUUCUAAUCAAAAUAUAAUCUAUGAGAUGCUCUUGGGUGCAUCCAGGUGGUUUUAUAUAUUUAUUUUUUUGCUUAAACAGAGUGUUGGUAACAACCAGAUAAUUCUCAGUACAAAACGUCAAAAGAGUUACUCCAUUCUUUUUUUUUUUAACAUUUUCCAAUUCCAUGUCGGCCUGACACAGGCCAUGAAAUGUAGACAUUUCCAGCUUUUGCGUUGAAAUCUCCCAAUAUGACCAGCUUGUCAGAAAUCGGUACUUUCCACAAUAAUUGCUAAAUCGUCGUAAAACUGUCCUGCAGUUUCAUCAGAAUGAGACAUUGUUGGUGCAUAAUUAGGGACAAAGGUAAGAAACCCACCUCUAGUCAGUUUUAAACGGCAUGACAUGGUUCUGCAAUGGAGGAUACUAAUGAAUUCUUGAGAGCAAACCC